GCAGGGGUAGCCAAGCCAGGUCAAAGGCGGCAGACUCAAGAUCUGCUCCCGAAGGGGUUCAGGAGUUCAAAUCUCCUCCCCUGCA
rnacentral:tRNA from 1 species